rnacentral:misc_RNA from 1 species
GUGAAUCAUCGAAUCUUUGAACGCAUAUUGCACUCUCUUCGGAGAGUAUGCCUGUUUGAGGGUCAGCCUAAAAAAAAUCGACAUAGUCGCUGUUUCGCGGUGACAUUCGUCGGAAAUUGGGUCAUCUUAAACCUUUGGGUUUUAAGCGGCUUAAAAUUUUCUUUUACGUUCCCACAAACGUUUUAAAAUUUAAUUUUUUAAACUUUAA